UAGUCAGAAACUGGCCAGUCCCGACCCCCGGUCCACCUAGGGCUCCGCCCACCACCGAGAAUAAGCCAAUCUCUUUGAGGCUUCUACAGGAGAACGUCGUGCGUUUGAGCUUCAACUUGAUAAGCCUGGCAGAAGCCUGACGAACCCAGAAUGAGUGAGAUGUGAGACAGAGUCUUGUUCGGUCGCGCAUGCUGGCGUACAGUGCCACAAUCACAGCUCACCGCAGCUUCCAACUUCUGGACUCACGUGAUCCUUCUGCCUCAGACUUCCAAGUACCUGGGACUGCAGGCACGAAUCACCACAGCCAGCUUGGAGUGACUUUCUAAGGGUAAUUACAAAAGUAAACUUCUUUAACAUAGCUAUAUCACAGCACGAGUGGGAGGAAGGAAGAUGAGGAGGAGAUGGUUCUUCCUACUGGUCCUAAAAAUGCUCUUGAGUGAUAUCUCUACAAUCAAGGGUAAUAUUAAAAUAUUUAAGAAUCAGUA